UACGGGGGGAGCAAGCGUUGUUCGGAUUUACUGGGCGUAAAGGGCGCGUAGGCGGCCACUGCAAGUCAGUUGUGAAAUCUCCGGGCUUAACCCGGAAAGGUCAACUGAUACUGCAGGGCUAGAGUGCAGAAGGGGCAACUGGAAUUCUCGGUGUAGCGGUGAAAUGCGUAGAUAUCGAGAGGAACACCUGCGGCGAAGGCGGGUUGCUGGGCUGACACUGACGCUGAGGCGCGAAAGCGUGGGGAGCGAUCCGG
rnacentral:rRNA from 1 species